rnacentral:tRNA from 1 species
AAAGAAAUAAAUAUUUAAAGCUUCUAACUUUAGAAAGAGCAUUUAAUU